UCAGUCGACUCCUACGGGGAGGCAGCAGUGGGGAAUAUGCACAAUGGGGGAAGCCCUGAUGCAGCCAUGCCGCGUGUGUGAAGAAGGCCUUCGGGUUGUAAAGCACUUUCAGUAGGGAGGAAGGUAGUGUAGUUAACACCUGCACUAUUUGACGUUACCUACAGAAGAAGCACCGGCUAACUCCGUGCCAGCAGCCGCGGUAAUACGGAGGGUGCGAGCGUUAAUCGGAAUUACUGGGCGUAAAGCGCAUGCAGGCGGCCUGUUAAGUCAGAUGUGAAAGCCCGGGGCUUAACCUCGGAAUUGCAUUUGAAACUGGCAGGCUAGAGUCUUGUAGAGGGGGGUAGGAAUUUCAGGUGUAGCGGUGAAAUGCGUAGAGAUCUGAAGGAAUACCAGUGGCGAAGGCGGCCCCCUGGACAAAGACUGACGCUCAGAUGCGAAAGCGUGGGGAGCAAACAGGAUUAGAUACCCUGGUAG
rnacentral:rRNA from 1 species